UACGUAGGGGGCAAGCGUUGUCCGGAUUUAUUGGGCGUAAAGAGCGUGUAGGCGGUUUGGUAGGUCCGUUGUGAAAACUCGAGGCUCAACCUCGAGACGCCGAUGGAAACCAUCAGACUAGAGUCCGGAAGAGGAGAGUGGAAUUCCUGGUGUAGCGGUGAAAUGCGCAGAUAUCAGGAGGAACACCUGUGGUGUAGACGGCUUUCUGGACCAUAGCUGACGCUGAGACACGAAAGCGUGGGUAGCAAACAGG
rnacentral:rRNA from 1 species